ensembl:lncRNA
CAGCAAUUGGCUAAGGGGCUGCGGCUUUCCGAACCCUCUCUCCCGCCCGUGACUAUGAAUGGACAUCGGCGUUGUCAGUCACCCGUACUGCGCCGCAACCAGGCCCUUGGCCGGUCUUUCUGUCUUUCUUUCGUCGCUGAUUCCUACCUCAUCCUGGGCAAGUUCAGGGUAGCACUUGGGAGCAGAGGAGCUUCGGCAAGGAAAGUCAGCCCGCAUGGCCCUAACGUGACCGUCGGUUAUGGGAGGGUUUUAGGCCUAGGAGGAGCGUGGAAAGCGCACAGAGGAACUAAGGCUUUGCUACCGUUGGUCCAGGCGGACUGUGAGCCUCCAGUUCAAAAGCUGGACAGAGUUGGCGGCAGCGAAAACCGAGGAAUCCCAGCUGCGUCCUUAUCUUCUUCUUCCCACCCCAGGUCAAAGGCGCGCUUCGCAGAGCCCCAGGGCACGCGGUGCUGCAUGGGCCACGGUCCACGGAGGUAGGAGAAGGCCUGGGGUGCCAACCGCAGGGAACUUGAUGGGGCUGGAAGGGGACAGGGAGUUCCGGAAGAGGCCAAGAGUCGAAGCCUCAGCCGGUUACUCCCACGCCCCUACCUCCACAGGCCGGUAGGGGUAAGUCACCCGGGCCCUCUAGUCCGACUCUCAGCGGGCCGACACGGGCGGGCAGAGGGACCAGGAUGCUGUGGCCCUACGCCUUGCGCUCUGAGGCAUCACCGUCGGCCAAGACCCUAGCGGCAGCGGUUCCUGUCCCUCUCUGCGACCGUCCUCACGGCUGUGGCCGACCGGCUGUCCUGUGCCUCGGCGUCCCCCGCCAGCGUUCCGGGCUGGGAGCGUGGCCCAGGGCAGAGACAGGGGAGGGGAGGUGGCGCGCGCGGAAGAGAGGAAGAUAAGGGAGAGAGGCGGCUGGGGAGCCAGGCUGGCAGGAGCUGACCUGCGCCCUCAGCCUGGCUGGCAACCGGCCCUCCAUAGCAACGGCCUGCCAGAGCCUGUGGGCGCGCGCGUUUGUGCGCGCGCGCGCGAAUGUGUGCGGUGAAGAUCUGAGCCUUCCCAGUCCCUGGGUAACAGAGGCUGAACAGGAUCGCACAAUCCCGGGUCGGGGACCGAGGAGUCCCCUUCAGGAGGGAGGCUCAGCUUUGCAGGGCAGAAAAAAAUAUAUCUUUUAAUUCAUGAAAACACUCUGGAAAAGUUUCCUGGCAGUCAUGACUCAGCUAUCUUGAAGAAUGAAUAAUGACGUUAGCUUUGUUAUUUUCUAAUGUUUUGGUCAGGAGGCCCUGGACUUCAUUUAAUAAUAAAUAUGAAUUUGUAUAAUUUUGAUAACAUUUCAGAAAAAUUUCAACACGAUACAAAACAUUUCUGAAACAUGUUGAUUGAAAUCAUUUAUAUAUGACAAAUGAGCACAUGAUUCACACAGAAGUUAGGGUUGCUUGACUAAUGAAUAAAAAAAUCUGGCAUUUAUAGAAUUUCCCAAGACUCACAAAAUGCCUAAACAAUAUAAGUAGUUUAAAAUGAUUUGCCGAUCCCUGCUAAUUCUUCUUUUUAAGUGUGCUUCACAUUUGUCAUGUGUAAAAACUAAUGUGCUGUGAUAAGAAUCUCAUUUUCAAUUUAGGGAACAAUGGACUGGUUGGUAGAGAUCACACAUUUCAGUGAUUAGAAUAAAUCUCCAGUGUUCUAAAUUAUCAAAGAAAACCUAUUUUUAAACAAAAUAGAGAAUGGCUGUUAUGGAAAAUACGAUUAUUAUAAAGCAAAAUACUUUUAGGAACUUAAAAUAUAUGGUAAGG